ensembl:lncRNA
CCCACAGUGAAAAUCUUGAUGCUGACAAGUUCUGAUGCGAAUCCCCAAACUGUGCAGUUCAGGAAAAGCGUUAUCAAUAAGCCUUCAAGAAGUUAACCUGCUACUUUUCUCCAGCUAUGAUUUUGUAUACGGAAAGCUUAACCCUCCGUACAUUGACAUUUUUCCAAAUCGCCAGAUGAAUCAUCCGAGCACAGCUGGCUUUUGGUCAAAAAUUAUCACGGGCAGCUGGAAUUUAGAAGAAAAUAAGGUGAAGGAGCUCAGUGUGAAGAUGUGAAGAGACUUGCUUUGCAGAAGAUUAUCAGAGGGAGCAAUGGCUCAGACGGAAGAGCUCUAGAUGAAUAAAGAUGAUGCAAACGUAAUGCAGAAGCAUUCUGGCAGCAAGUACCAGUUCUGCAGCUGAAAUGCCCAAGCGCCUCACUGCUGAUGCUGUGUAAAUGGAGCAGCAAGAGGGGUAUCACACCCCAGCCUACUUCUGCAGUCAGUCCCAGGGGAGCACUCAGAACUUACAUAUACUCACUGAAGUGGUGAGACCAAAGCACUGUGCCUAUACUACACUAUCAGACCUGCAGGGAAGAACUGUGAGAUCAUUUACGGAGUCAUAGAUUCAUUUAGCUUGGAAAACACCCUUAAGGUUAUCAAAGGAGUGUCUACCAUUGCAGAUGAAGUCAC